rnacentral:rRNA from 1 species
GGUAACAUCAAAUCGUACCCCAAACCGACACAGGUGGUCAGGUAGAGAAUACCAAGGCGCUUGAGAGAACUCGGGUGAAGGAACUAGGCAAAAUGGUGCCGUAACUUCGGGAGAAGGCACGCUGAUACGUAGGUGAAGUCCCUUGCGGAUGGAGCUGAAAUCAGUCGAAGAUACCAGCUGGCUGCAACUGUUUAUUAAAAACACAGCACUGUGCAAACACGAAAGUGGACGUAUACGGUGUGACGCCUGCCCGGUGCCGGAAGGUUAAUUGAUGGG